ensembl:lncRNA
AUGAUGCGUCUGGUCGAUGGGGGACGCGCCGCCCGCCUGCAUGGGCGGCCCCCCGUCUCGAGGAUCAAUGGUCCCCCCACCGUGGGGCUGAGGGCACAGCGGAGGCUCCCUGAGGCUCUGGCCCUGCGGGAGGCGGCCUCCCAUCCCCCCGCCGGCCGUGGCAGGCAGGGCCGGACCAUGUCCCUCGUUCAUAGAAGCAGAGACCGAGGCUUGGAGGCACUCCCCAGCUGCCCAGCUCCUUGGAGCACUCUCCUGGGCUCAGCCGGUGUAAGAGCCCUCCCCGCAGUGAUCACGCGGGGACCCCACUGCUGGCAGGCAGGGAGCGGGCAGGUAGGGCCGGAGUGCCCAGAACCGUGGGAGGCAGGACCCCGGCCAGCUGGGCAUCCUGGGAUGAGUCUGAGACCUCUCUGGGCCUGUCGGCCAGCUCCCGCUCUCCUUGGCUUGGAUCCCAUGAGGCUGAGCCCAACAGUGAGGCCUCAGGCACCCGUGGCCCAGCUGGAGUUGACUCUGGCCGGCACCCCCUCCCCUCUCCCUGCCAACCUCGGGGGUGGCACCGAAGCUUCCAAAAUCUCAUUACUGCGGCCGCCUCCCAUUCUCCGAGGCUCCCUCCUCUGCUGCCCCCGCUCUCCUUUCGAAGGAUGAAUUUCUGUAGCAGCCAAUUACAGCCGUUUGAUGUGCGUAAUGAUGAAGCCGUGGAAAUUGGAAUUGACACCUCGGAGGAUCGCGGAGGGGGGAGGCCGGGCGAACACGGAUCCGGCAUCUUCUUGGGGGUUUUCUCCCACUGACGUCGCGGCUGGCGGGCCGGCUCUGCAGGCGGGCGGGGGGCGCGGCCGGGUGGCGGGGGCUGGGGCAGCCCCGGUCCUAAGCACCGAUCAAUUACAGCGCAGACAAGCCAGUGUCACAUGUGAUUCACAAUGUCAAUUUCAUGCUCGUGGUAACCAUUUAAGAAAGAGCUGGGCCGGUUUUACAUUUGAUAAGAAAUCAGCGGCGUUUGUGUUUGUAAAAAGACGGAUCACAGAGUGUGACAGGUCCCAGAGAUUGCCAGGCGGCGUCGACGGCCCGUCUGGAGUCUGUCAGGGACCCGCAAGUAUUUAUUUCAAAUGGGUUUCCCCCUGCCGCCCCCCACAAGCCAGGAUGUGAAAAUAAACUGUCAGUCUCUAUUUACAGCUGUACAAGCUGGAAAUACAGAGGAUUUUAGGUUAAAUUGUCAGUUAACAGAAUUCAAAAUAGAAAAAAGAAAUGGGCCUCGCUGCCUUUAUUGCACAUUUUGAUAGGGAGAGUCAUCUUUGCGUCUGGAGGGGCGGAAGGAGCCGGUGGGAUCGAGGAGCCCUCCGGAGGGGCCGGCGGUGCCCAGCUGACUUCCCAGCUUUUGGGAGGAUUAGGGUGGUAUCGGGGCUAAUUGGACAGGAGCUGACAGGGUAUCCUGGCCUGGCCCUGCUUUCUGCCAGUUCACAGGUUGUGUGUCUUCAGGAGCGUGGGCACGGCUAAUUUGGCCGGGAGGACGUCCUCCAGUGCGCUUGGCUUCCACGACGGAUAGGGAGUUGCCUGGGGGCCCGCUUCCCGGACUUGGGUCUGGAUAGGAGCCCACGGGCUCUGCUCGGACAGGAUGCUCCUGCCCAGCUCAGGAGGCACGGAUGCUCGGGGAGGCUCCUCAUGCCCCCUCCUUGCAGGUAGAGUCGACAUCCAGGCCUUGGGUCCAUGCCCGCAGGACCCAUGGCUUCUUACCAGCCUGGUCCAGGAUGGAGUCCUGGAGCCGGCCCCACAGUCCCCCUGCCUGAUGCCCGGAGCCGUGUCUGGCCGGGGGCGGGGCCAAGGGGCCGCUGAGGGGCUGGCACUGAGACCAGCAGGCAGGCCCCCGCGCAUCUCCAGGGCAACGAGCGCACAAGCUGUCUGGCUUCUCCGGUUUCCAGGCACCGAGGCUCCUUGGCACCAGCCUGGCCUGGCGGGCGGGACUGCGGGCCCCAGGACGUGCUCGCUGGCCCAGGGCAUGGCCUGGACUUGGGAGCCUCCGUUGUCUCAUCUGCGAAA